rnacentral:antisense_RNA from 1 species
UCAAUGGUGGGCCGGGCGGGGGCAUCGUAAGAUGCGCCGGUGUCCAGUAUGACCGGUAAGGCUAACUCCGCCCGGUUCUGCCACCC